AGUAUAUAAAUCAUGAGUAACGGUGUUCAAUCAUGCAAUGGAGGGUUGCAGCUUAGCAAUGAUGUGAAGGAGAAGAUAAUGGGGAUGUUGACCUUGUUGAGGAAUUUGAUUCUUAUUGGCAAGAUAUCAGUUACCGGUUGGCCGUGUCUAGGGUGGUGAGUGACACAGUCAUCAAGGGUAUGGUACAAGAGGCAGCAGAGAAAAUUGCUGAAAAAGAACUAGAGGUGACUAAAUUGAAAGAAAUGUUAAAUGUUUACCAUGUGGGUGUUGAAAAUGAAUUCUUGGCGUCUUUAGCAAUGCGCCAGGAGUCAAACAGACUUAUUAAACAAGGUACCAAAGACAAGAUGCAUCCUAGCUCUCUUGAAGCUAUUUUAGAGUACGAUAGAAUAGAACAAUCUUUGAGCAGCUUAAGAGGAGCAACUAAAGAGGAGUUUAAGAAGCUCGAGGCAGAAAUUGAUAGCAUAAGAGGCAGCUCAGUUAAGAUAAUUUCUGAGUUGUUGGGUUUGAGUGACACACAGCAAGAUAAAGUUUCUGACAGAUGGGGGAUUGGUGUAGAUAGGACGCCUAAUUGUCUAAAGAGUGCUUUAGAAACUGGCUUUCAACGGGUGGAACAAAUGGUUCGCUUGUCAAAGGCUGAUGUACAUGAGUGGCAACAGGAACAGGAGUUUAAAGCAGAAAUUGAAGCAUUUGUGAUGAGGAAUUGCAUUUGGAGAUUCGAAGAAAAAAUUUGGGACCAGUUUUAUAGUGAUAAAAAUGUGAAUGGGCAUGGAAGGAUGAAAGAGAGGAUAUCAGGUUUACGUCAGGAAUUGGACGCCAUUUCUAAAUCACUCUGUUUCUGACUUUGGGCAGCUAUCUUCUCAUGGAUCCUUGGAAGGUGAUGAAGAAAGUAAUAAUUUUAAGAUGGGAGAGGUUUUGAACGAUCUUAAAUCAUCAUCUCCAUCUCCAGCAACAUCACCACCAACAUCAACAUCAUCAGCAUCAUCAUCAGCAUCUAGUUGGGAAAAAAAUGGCACGCAAGAUAAGUCAGAAAUAAAUAUGUCAAUAGAAGAAUUGAUAAAUUAUUAUAAUACUGAGAUGACUGAGUUGAAGAGAAAUCAUGAGUCUAAAGUGCAGGAUAUGACUGAACAACUAUUCAGCCUCAUGAGGGAAUUGUUGAAAGAACGGGGAUCUUCUUUGCCAUCAAAGAAGAAUAAGGAGUUUGACAUGCUGAGGAGGAGAAUAUCUGAGGUUAUUUCUAAAUUAGAUGACAUUCUUGUCGAAAAUGAGCAAAAAGCCACAUUUGGUAUCGAUGAAGAAAGUCUUAGCCGUUUGAAAGACGGACUGGAAUCACUCCUUUCAGAAAACGCCCAGCUCAGAGAUUUGCUCACAGAUAAGAAGAGGGAAAUUAAGUGCCUUUCACUGCAAGUUUCUGAAGCUGCAGAGAAAAUGUCAGAGCACAAUGGUGAAUCUUCUGAAGCAAAGGAGCGAUUGGAACAAGAUGCAGCAGCUGCCUUGGAAAAGGAAAAGGAGCGAUAUGAAUUAGCUGCUCAAGAGCUUGAAAAUUUAAGGGGCCAGCUCAGAGAUUUGCUCACAGAUAAGAAGAGGGAAAUUAAGUGCCUUUCACUACAAGUUUCUGAAGCUGCAGAGAAAAUGUCAGAGCACAAUGGUGAAUCUUCUGAAGCAAAGGAGCGAUUGGAACAAGAUGCAGCAGCUGCCUUGGAAAAGGAAAAGGAGCGAUAUGAAUUAGCUGCUCAAGAGCUUGAAAAUUUAAGGGGUGAAAUUGAAGAUUUGAAUAUGGAGUCCAUCAUCAUGCAAGAACUAGUUGUAGUUAUAUUCAGAGAAGCCUUGAAGGAUGCUGAGCAGAAACUCAAUAACCUGAACAUGACAUAUACCAGUGAAAAAGGACUUCGGGAGCGAAUGGAACAAGAUGCAGCAGCUGCCUUGGAAAAGGAAAAGGAGCGAUAUGAAUUAGCUGCUCAAGAGCUUGAAAAUUUAAGGGGUAAAAUUGAAGAUUUGAAUAGGGAGUCCAUCAUCAUGCGAGAACUAGUUGUAGUUAUAUUCAGAGACUUGAAGGAUGCUGAGCAGAAACUCGAUAACCUGAACAUGACAUAUACCAGUGAAAAAGGACUUCGGGUUUCUUUUGAGAUGGAAAAUCUAGAAAAAGGAAAACAACUAGAAGUUGAGGUUGCAAGCAAAGAAAAGUUGAACCAAAAAAUAAUCUUUCUGGAAGAAGCAAAGGAGCGAUUGGAAGAAGAUGCUGCAGCUGCCUUGGAAAAGGAAAAGAAGCGAUAUGAAUUUGCUGCUCAAGAGCUUGAAAAUUUAAGGGGUGAAUCAAAUGCUCAUAAGGCAUAUAUUUGCGAGUUAGGUCAGAGGCUUCUUGAUGUCAACCAAGAGAAGCAGAAUGCUGUGUCUUUGUUUGAACGUAGAGUAACACGAGAUAUUUCAGGAAAAUCUUCAAGGUUGAAGAGUUUGAGAUCUCAAUUGCAUUCACUUAAACAAAAAGCUAAAGUACUUGUAAAAAGAAAGAUUCUAUACAAGCGGGGAUUUGAAAGGAAAUGUUCUGACCUUGAAAAAGCUGAAGCCGAGGUUGAUCUUUUGGGGAAGGAGGUGGACACUCUAUCGAGCCUUGUUGAAAAAAUAUACAUGGCCCUUGAUCAUUAUUCACCAAUAUUGCAACAUUAUGCUGGAAUAUCUGAGAUCUUGAAGCUCAUAAGAAGAAAAUUACGUGGAGAAACUAAAGCAGUUUGAUCUGUCUUUUGACUCGAUAAGAUGGGCUAAUCCUCGAGGUGACAAGAAUCGAAUGCAGGGUAACCAAGGUUA